rnacentral:rRNA from 1 species
AAUAUUUGACAAUGGGUGCAACCCUGAUCCAGCCAUGCCGCGUGUGUGAAGAAGGUCUUCGGAAUGUACAUCACUUUAAGUUGGGAGAUAGGGCUUUAGGUUAAUACCCUGAAGUUUUGACGUUAGCAACUGAAUAAGUACCGGCUAACUCUGUGCCAGCAGCCGCGGUAAUACAGAGGGUGCAAGCGUUAAUCGGAAUUACUGGGCGUAAAGCGCGCGUAGGUGGUUUGUUAAGUUGGAAGUGAAAGCCCCGGGCUCAACCUGGGAACUGCUUUCAUAACUGCUGAGCUAGAGUACGGUAGAGGGUAGUGGAAUUUCCUGUGUAGCGGUGACAUGCGUAGAUAUAGGAAGGAACACCAGUGGCGAAGGCGACUACCUGGACUGAUACUGACACUGAGGUGCGAAAGCGUGGGGAGCAAAC